rnacentral:tRNA from 1 species
GCCUCGAUGGUGAAAUCGGUAGACACAGCGGACUUAAAAUCCGCCGCCCUUGAACAAGGCGUGCCGGUUCGAUUCCGGCUCGAGGCACCA